rnacentral:rRNA from 3 species
CGAAAUGCGAUACCUAGUGUGAAUUGCAGAAUUCCGUGAAUCAUCGAGUUUUUGAACGCAAGUUGCGCCUGAGGCUCGUACCGAGGGCAUGUCUGUCUGAGCGUCCA